rnacentral:misc_RNA from 1 species
GAUGAAGAACGUAGUGAAAUGCGAUAAGUAAUGUGAAUUGCAGAUUUCAGUGAAUCAUCGAAUCUUUGAACGCACAUUGCGCCCGCCAGUAUUCUGGCGGGCAUGCCUGUUCGAGCGUCAUUACAACCCUCAAGCCCCCCGGCUUGGUGUUGGGGACCGGCCACCGGUGCCCUGCUGCUUCCGCGGCAGGCGCGCCCGGCCGCCCCCGAAAUGAAUUGGCGGCCCCGUCGCGGCCUCCCUCUGCGUAGUAGCACACAUCUCGCAGCUGGAGCGCGGCGCGGCCACUGCCGUAAAACGCACCAACUUUUUUUUACAGUUGACCUCGAAUCAGGUAGGAAUACCCGCUGAACUUAAGCAUAUCAAUAAGCGGAGGA